CAGGAGGAACUCACCCAAGAAUAACAUCUUCUUCAGAGUUAACCAUUAUUUUAAGAUUUGCUUAUCUGAGUGAUACAUUUUUGAAUUGUAUGAUCCCGAGUCAAUUUGUCAUCAAACACUGUCAUGGUCAACUCUGUUUUGCACAAGGAUGAACCCCCAUGCCAGCUGGCGUAUUGCCCAUGAUGAUGACUGGAGAGAAACUGAAGGAAGGAGAAAAUGUGGUGUCAUAAUUGGCAGCAAUGUUCUAACGUGGCUUCAGCUUCUGCCAGAUGACCCCGAUCCUUUUUGCUGUGAUAAUGCUCCUUCUGCUUUAUGUCUCUUCAGACUAAGAUGGGGAAGGUGGUUCAAGCACCAAGAAAAGUCAACUCACACACAUACAAAAUCAAGUAACAUCUGUUCAAAUAAUUAAAAUAAAAGCAGAAUAUUUGAAUGCAUCAAAGGAAACAACACUUCAUGCAAUGCAUAUGAGAAGCUGACAUUGGGGACACUAGACCUGGUGUGGCAUUUCAGAAUCAGAGGGG